GAUGAAGAACGUAGCGAAAUGCGAUACGUAAUGUGAAUUGCAAAUUCAGUGAAUCAUCGAGUCUUUGAACGCACAUUGCGCCCCCUGGUAUUCCGGGGGGCAUGCCUGUCCGAGCGUCAUUGCUGCCCUCAAGCACGGCUUGUGUGUUGGGCCCCGUCCUCCGAUCCCGGGGGACGGGCCCGAAAGGCAGCGGCGGCACCGCGUCCGGUCCUCGAGCGUAUGGGGCUUUGUCACCCGCUCUGUAGGCCCGGCCGGCGCUUGCCGAUCAACCCAAAUUUUUAUCCAGGUUGACCUCGGAUCAGGUAGGGAUACCCGUUGAACUUAAGCAUAUCAAUAAGCGGAGGA
rnacentral:misc_RNA from 1 species